rnacentral:ncRNA from 2 species
AGGGAUCAUUACCGAGUUUACAACUCCCAAACCCCUGUGAACAUACCUAUACGUUGCCUCGGCGGAUCAGCCCGCGCCCCGUAAAAAGGGACGGCCCGCCCGAGGACCCCUAAACUCUGUUUUUAGUGGAACUUCUGAGUAAAACAAACAAAUAAAUCAAAACUUUCAACAACGGAUCUCUUGGUUCUGGCAUCGAUGAAGAACGCAGCAAAAUGCGAUAAGUAAUGUGAAUUGCAGAAUUCAGUGAAUCAUCGAAUCUUUGAACGCACAUUGCGCCCGCCAGUAUUCUGGCGGGCAUGCCUGUUCGAGCGUCAUUUCAACCCUCAAGCUCAGCUUGGUGUUGGGACUCGCGGUAACCCGCGUUCCCCAAAUCGAUUGGCGGUCACGUCGAGCUUCCAUAGCGUAGUAAUCAUACACCUCGUUACUGGUAAUCGUCGCGGCCACGCCGUAAAACCCCAACUUCUGAAUGUUGACCUCGGAUCAGGUAGGAAUACCCGCUGAACUUAA